rnacentral:rRNA from 1 species
UACGGGGGGAGCGAGCGUUGUUCGGAUUUACUGGGCGUAAAGGGCGCGUAGGCGGCCACCGCAAGUCGACUGUGAAAUCUCCGAGCUUAACUCGGAAAGGUCAACUGAUACUGUGCGACUAGAGUGCAGAAGGGGCAACUGGAAUUCUCGGUGUAGCGGUGAAAUGCGUAGAUAUCGAGAGGAACACCUGCGGCGAAGGCGGGUUGCUGGGCUGACACUGACGCUGAGGCGCGAAAGCUAGGGGAGCGAACGGG